ensembl:lncRNA
CAGUACCAGUAACUAGAAAAUUUACAAGUAAUGAGUAUAAAAGCUAAAAGCAACUACUGGUGGUAAAAUCAGUCCCACAACAAAUGUAAGUAAUACUAUGCCCUGUCCACCAUUGUACCGUUUGCCAACAGGAAAUGUGAAAAACAAAGUUUCAUUUCUGUCCGCAGACUUCUUGGUAUCUUCUUUGAAUGUUAACACAGAAGACAAUGUCCAGUCUCACAAUCUUUCCUCACGAAAUCCUCUCAGGCUUCAAUGACAUCUGUGUAUGUACAAGAAAUCCCAUAUUAGACUCUACGGCGUUAAUUUAUUCAUGUCUCAGUAUUCAAGACUAUAUUUCUCCAUUUUCUUUUGUAGUACAAAGCCAUCUUACAGUAUAAGAGGAGAAAUGUGAUGGCAAGAUAAUGGUGUUAGUCAAAUCAUAUUUGAAUGAUUCUUCAUAGAAGUGCAAGUAUUUUCAGGCUUUUCCAGGUUUUCAGCGGUUGUGUGAAAAUCAGCUCAGAACCUGUUUGUUUCUUCCUGUGGGUGCUCUCAGUGUUUCAAGCCCAGGGCCUCCAAGGAGUGGCAAGGCAAUGCCAGAGCGAUGAAGGCUUGUGAUUCAACCUGCUGGUGUGUGAAAGAUCCAAAGAGAUGAAAAAUGUUUCUUCCUUUCAGAAAUGCUGAUGUUCUUCAGGCGUAUUGAAGUGGAGCUGUACUCUAUCCAGACACUGAACAGAACCUGGAAAUGACGAUGAUAGUGAUUAAAAGGUAAAGGAAUUGUGAAACCUGAGGCAUUGUUGUCCUUUGGCAGGUGCCAAUAUGUUCAGUGUCAUUCUGUCCCUUCCAGGAAUGUCUCAGAUGGGAACAAGUGUACCAGCAGUCCUGCGUGACACCUUUGGUUCAAUUUCCUGGCAUAGAUCAAUAUAAGCAUAGCACUUUAUGUGCAUUUUUGCUGUUUCGUUUUUUUUUUUUUUUUUUUUUUUUGCCAUCUUCAACAUACCCCAAAUAUCCCAAUUUCUGCCAUUACAAUUCUUUAUAAACUUGCAAAUUCAUAAAUCCUGAAGCCAAAAAUUGUUUGCUUAGUCUCAGAAGAUGGCACGUAUGUCCUGGAAAUUUGCAUUUUAGAACGGAAUUAAAUUCAAAAGCUCUGGGAAGCUGUAUGGACCUGUUGAUUUCCAUCACCAAUUAGAAAGAGAAGACUUGAAAAUGGGAGAAGAGACAACAACAGUGUCUCUUAUAUUUGCUAGAUGACGGGAAUUAUACCCAUAAAAGACAAUUCUAUGUUUUUGGCAGCAGCUAAACUAGUCGUCUGUUUAAGCAACUUUUGAGGAUUUGACUUGGGCAUUAUGAAGAAAUGGCACAAAUCCCUUCAAACCAGGACUGGAAAAAAUAAAGCACCUCCAGUCUCCAGUACAUGGGAAUUGAUAUCUACAAGUGUAAUCGUGUCCACUACAGAACUUCUAAUAGAUUACACUGGUUCACGUGGGACCAUAUGUGCCAGAGGCACUCUCAAGGAAAAGUAGAUACUCACUGUUAUCACAGUAACAGAUGAGUUUUUUUCUGUGUGAGAGUAAAGAAAAACAGUCCACUUAAUCUACUCUCCCAUAUCUUUCUUUUCUAGAGGCAUUUUUUCCACUAUUGAGGUAUUGUGUAGGGGUGGUUUGGUACUUGAUGGGUGAUUUUGUGGUGCUCUGCAAACUUUUCUGUAGGCUGGGGAUGAGGCUCUGUAGGCAAACUUUUCUAUAGGCUUUGCCUCGAGUGAAUGCCUUCUUGUUUUGCUUACAAAGCCACUGAGGGAGCACAG